AGGAGCCGUAUGAGGUGAAAAUUUCACGUACGAUUCUGGAACGGAGAUUCUUUGAAUCGAAUAACGACCGUAAC
rnacentral:ncRNA from 1 species